AUUGAACGCUGGCGGCAUGCCUAACACAUGCAAGUCGAGCGGAUGAACGAAGCUUGCUCCUUGAUUCAGCGGCGGACGGGUGAGUAAUGCCUAUGAAUCUUCCUGGUAGUGCGGGAUUACGUCCGGAAACGGGCGCUAAUACCGCAUACUUCCUGAUGGAGAAAGUGGGUGCUCUUGGGACCUCACUCUAUCAGAUGAGCCUAGGUCGGAGUAGCUAGUUGGUGGGGUAAAGGCCUACCAAGGCGACGAUCCGUAACUGGUCUGAGAGGAUGAUCAGUCACACUGGAACUGGGACACGGACCAGAGUACUACGGGAGGGAGCAGUGGGGAACGGUGGACAGUGGGCGAAAGCAUGAUACAGCGAUGCGGAGUGUGUGAAGAAGGUGUUGGGAUUGGAAAGCACUUUAAGUUGGGAGGAAGGGCAGUAAGUUAAUACCUUGCUGUUUUGACGGUACCAACAGAAUAAGCACCGGCUAACUACGUG
rnacentral:rRNA from 1 species